rnacentral:tRNA from 1 species
GCCGCGGUGGCCGAGUGGUUAGCGUUUCCUACUGCCAUUGGGAGGGCCCGGGUUCAAAUCAAGAUGUCGUAAUA